CCACCGUCCACCUCGACAAUCUCCCUCCCCAGUCGACGUCGAGUAUUUGUUAGGGGUUAUUUCUUAAUGGCGAUGCCCCCUCCUCGCUCGAGAUCUCCGACUCCAACCAGACCAACCGUACGCUCGUCAAGGUAAACCGAAUGGUCACGAAACAGUGUGCCUAGUUGGGAAAGUAACUCUACGUCAACUGAAAUUGAAUCGAAUGAGGCACAAUUACCAACACUUGAUAGUUCACAAGCAGAAACUGAGUCAAAUCUCCCUACAAAUGAACCAAAAGAUCUUGGGUAUA